rnacentral:rRNA from 1 species
UACGGAGGUGGCAAGCGUUGCCCGGAAUCACUGGGCGUAAAGGGCGCGUAGGCGGCUCGGUAAGUCGGGUGUGAAAUCCCUCGGCCCAACCGAGGAACUGCGCCCGAGACUGCUUCUCUUGAGUCCCGGAGAGGAAGAUGGAAUUCCCGGUGUAGCGGUGAAAUGUGUAGAGAUCGGGAGGAACACCGGUGGCGAAGGCGGUCUUCUGGACGGUGACUGACGCUGAGACGCGAAAGCGUGGGGAGCAAACAGG